UACGAAGGGGGCUAGCGUUGCUCGGAAUCACUGGGCGUAAAGGGUGCGUAGGCGGGUCUUUAAGUCAGGGGUGAAAUCCUGGAGCUCAACUCCAGAACUGCCUUUGAUACUGAAGAUCUUGAGUUCGGGAGAGGUGAGUGGAACUGCGAGUGUAGAGGUGAAAUUCGUAGAUAUUCGCAAGAACACCGAUGGCGAAGGCAGCCCCCUGGGCCGACAUUGACGCUCCAGGCACGAAAGCGUGGGGAGCAAACAGG
rnacentral:rRNA from 1 species